rnacentral:rRNA from 1 species
GGGUUGUGAGGUUAAGCGACUAAGCGUACACGGUGGAUGCCCUGGCAGUCAGAGGCGAUGAAGGACGUGCUAAUCUGCGAAAAGCGUCGGUAAGGUGAUAUGAACCGUUAUAGCCGGCGAUGUCCGAAUGGGGAAACCCAGUGCAAUUCGUUGCACUAUCGUUAACUGAAUACAUAGGUUAACGAGGCGAACCGGGGGAACUGAAACAUCUAAGUACCCCGAGGAAAAGAAAUCAACCGAGAUUCCCCCAGUAGCGGCGAGCGAACGGGGAGCAGCCCAGAGUCUGAAUCAGCUUGUGUGUUAGUGGAACGGUCUGGAAAGUCCGACGGUACAGGGUGAUAGUCCCGUACACCAAAAUGCACAGGUUGUGAACUCGAAGAGUAGGGCGGGACACGUGGUAUCCUGUCUGAAUAUGGGGGGACCAUCCUCCAAGGCUAAAUACUCCUGACUGACCGAUAGUGAACCAGUACCGUGAGGGAAAGGCGAAAAGAACCCCGGCGAGGGGAGUGAAAAAGAACCUGAAACCGUGUACGUACAAGCAGUGGGAGCACCUUCGGGUGUGACUGCGUACCUUUUGUAUAAUGGGUCAGCGACUUAUAUUCUGUAGCAAGGUUAACCGUAUAGGGGAGCCGCAGGGAAACCGAGUCUUAACUGGGCGUUAAGUUGCAGGGUAUAGACCCGAAACCCGGUGAUCUAGCCAUGGGCAGGUUGAAGGUUGGGUAACACUAACUGGAGGACCGAACCGACUAAUGUUGAAAAAUUAGCGGAUGACUUGUGGCUGGGGGUGAAAGGCCAAUCAAACCGGGAGAUAGCUGGUUCUCCCCGAAAGCUAUUUAGGUAGCGCCUCGUGAACUCAUCUUCGGGGGUAGAGCACUGUUUCGGCUAGGGGGUCAUCCCGACUUACCAACCCGAUGCAAACUACGAAUACCGAAGAAUGUUAUCACGGGAGACACACGGCGGGUGCUAACGUCCGUCGUGAAGAGGGAAACAACCCAGACCGCCAGCUAAGGUCCCAAAGUCAUGGUUAAGUGGGAAACGAUGUGGGAAGGCACAGACAGCCAGGAUGUUGGCUUAGAAGCAGCCAUCAUUUAAAGAAAGCGUAAUAGCUCACUGGUCGAGUCGGCCUGCGCGGAAGAUGUAACGGGGCUAAACCAUGCACCGAAGCUGCGGCAGCGACACUAUGUGUUGUUGGGUAGGGGAGCGUUCUGUAAGCCUGCGAAGGUGACCUGUGAGGGUUGCUGGAGGUAUCAGAAGUGCGAAUGCUGACAUAAGUAACGAUAAAGCGGGUGAAAAGCCCGCUCGCCGGAAGACCAAGGGUUCCUGUCCAACGUUAAUCGGGGCAGGGUGAGUCGACCCCUAAGGCGAGGCCGAAAGGCGUAGUCGAUGGGAAACAGGUUAAUAUUCCUGUACUUGGUGUUACUGCGAAGGGGGGACGGAGAAGGCUAUGUUAGCCGGGCGACGGUUGUCCCGGUUUAAGCAUGUAGGCUCCAGGCAAAUCCGGAUAAUCAAGGCUGAGGUGUGAUGACGAGGCACUACGGUGCUGAAGUAACAAAUGCCCUGCUUCCAGGAAAAGCCUCUAAGCAUCAGGUAACAUUAAAUCGUACCCCAAACCGACACAGGUGGUCAGGUAGAGAAUACCAAGGCGCUUGAGAGAACUCGGGUGAAGGAACUAGGCAAAAUGGUGCCGUAACUUCGGGAGAAGGCACGCUGGUGUGUAGGUGAAGGAGCUGAGACCAGUCGAAGAUACCAGCUGGCUGCAACUGUUUAUUAAAAACACAGCACUGUGCAAACACGAAAGUGGACGUAUACGGUGUGACGCCUGCCCGGUGCCGGAAGGUUAAUUGAUGGGGUUAUCCGUAAGGAGAAGCUCUUGAUCGAAGCCCCGGUAAACGGCGGCCGUAACUAUAACGGUCCUAAGGUAGCGAAAUUCCUUGUCGGGUAAGUUCCGACCUGCACGAAUGGCGUAAUGAUGGCCAGGCUGUCUCCACCCGAGACUCAGUGAAAUUGAACUCGCUGUGAAGAUGCAGUGUACCCGCGGCAAGACGGAAAGACCCCGUGAACCUUUACUAUAGCUUGACACUGAACAUUGAGCCUUGAUGUGUAGGAUAGGUGGGAGGCUUUGAAGCGUGGACGCCAGUCUGCGUGGAGCCAACCUUGAAAUACCACCCUUUAAUGUUUGAUGUUCUAACGUUGGCCCCUUACCGGGGUUGCGGACAGUGUCUGGUGGGUAGUUUGACUGGGGCGGUCUCCUCCCAAAGCGUAACGGAGGAGCACGAAGGUUAGCUAAUCCUGGUCGGACAUCAGGAGGUUAGUGCAAUGGCAUAAGCUAGCUUGACUGCGAGCGUGACGGCGCGAGCAGGUGCGAAAGCAGGUCAUAGUGAUCCGGUGGUUCUGAAUGGAAGGGCCAUCGCUCAACGGAUAAAAGGUACUCCGGGGAUAACAGGCUGAUACCGCCCAAGAGUUCAUAUCGACGGCGGUGUUUGGCACCUCGAUGUCGGCUCAUCACAUCCUGGGGCUGAAGUAGGUCCCAAGGGUAUGGCUGUUCGCCAUUUAAAGUGGUACGCGAGCUGGGUUUAGAACGUCGUGAGACAGUUCGGUCCCUAUCUGCCGUGGGCGCUGGAGAAUUGAGGGGGGCUGCUCCUAGUACGAGAGGACCGGAGUGGACGCAUCACUGGUGUUCGGGUUGUCAUGCCAAUGGCACUGCCCGGUAGCUAAAUGCGGAAGAGAUAAGUGCUGAAAGCAUCUAAGCACGAAACUUGCCCCGAGAUGAGUUCUCCCUGAGACUUUAAGUCUCCUGAAGGAACGUUAAAGACGAUGACGUUGAUAGGCCGGGUGUGUAAGCGCAGCGAUGCGUUGAGCUAACCGGUACUAAUGAACCGUGAGGCUUAACCUUACAACGCCGAAG